UGGCAUGUUGUGUCGACUGUUAUAUAAUUUGUGUGUGGGUUUCUCUGUUAUGAAUGUACGUGCGUUUGUGCUGUAUUUCUGUCUCGUAGUGUAUUGGCGAUAUUUUCUAACAUUAUCAUAAUGCAAGAGGUUUGGCAUGCCACCCACCAUCUUUUAUGGCCCCGCAACGAAGUUGUCGGUGCCAUAUAGUUUCACCCUUGUCCGUAAUUCCGUCAUUCCGUCAUUCCGUAAAUCCAUAAUUCCGUCAUUCCG
rnacentral:lncRNA from 1 species